rnacentral:rRNA from 1 species
AACGAACGCUGGCGGCAUGCCUACCACAUGCAAGUCGAACGAGACCUUCGGGUCUAGUGGCGCACGGGUGCGUAACGCGUGGGAACCUGCCCUUAGGUUCGGAAUAACUCCCCGAAAGGGGUGCUAAUACCGGAUAAUGUCUUCGGACCAAAGAUUUAUCGCCUUUGGAUGGGCCCGCGUUGGAUUAGCUAGUUGGUAGGGUAAAAGCCUACCAAGGCGACGAUCCAUAGCUGGUCUGAGAGGAUGAUCAGCCACACUGGGACUGAGACACGGCCCAGACUCCGACGGGAGGCAGCAGUGGGGAAUAUUGGACAAUGGGCGGAAGCCUGAUCCAGCAAUGCCGCGUGAGUGAUGAAGGCCUUAGGGUUGUAAAGCUCUUUUACCCGGGAUGAUAAUGACAGGACCGGGAGAAUAAGCGCCGGCGAACUCCGU